GAUGAACGCUGGCGGCGUGCCUAAUACAUGCAAGUCGAGCGAACGGACGAGAAGCUUGCUUCUCUGAUGUUAGCGGCGGACGGGUGAGUAACACGUGGAUAACCUACCUAUAAGACUGGGAUAACUUCGGGAAACCGGAGCUAAUACCGGAUAAUAUUUUGAACCGCAUGGUUCAAAAGUAAAAGACGGUCUUGCUGUCACUUAUAGAUGGAUCCGCGCUGCAUUAGCUAGUUGGUAAGGUAACGGCUUACCAAGGCAACGAUGCAUAGCCGACCUGAGAGGGUGAUCGGCCACACUGGAACUGAGACACGGUCCAGACUCCUACGGGAGGCAGCAGUAGGGAAUCUUCCGCAAUGGGCGAAAGCCUGACGGAGCAACGCCGCGUGAGUGAUGAAGGUCUUCGGAUCGUAAAACUCUGUUAUUAGGGAAGAACAUAUGUGUAAAUAACUGUGCACAUCUUGACGGUACCUAAUCAGAAAGCCACGGCUAACUACGUG
rnacentral:rRNA from 1 species